GAGAAAGGAAAAAAUACAAGCUCAAGAGGAAGGAAAAGAACACAAAGUAGCAAGAUGAAGGAGCAUGUUGAGCAUCUUUUGCAGAUAGCUAAGAGGAAAAAAUCAAAACAGAUUCUAGAUGAAAAUGGUGAUAUUGACUUCCCUGUGAUUAGAACUCACAUUCAUAAACAAGAAAGGGCAGAUCUACAUCUGAAAGAUUCCAUGGUUGACAUUCUGUAACGUGAGGGGCCUGCACAAGCAAUGCCUGUAAUUGUAGAGGAAAUGCCAGAAGAAAGUUACUUUGUUGCAGA